GUUAAAGGGGUUAGAUGUAAAUGUAUGGUGAAGAAAAAGAGCAAGAAGAGAGUAUGCUCAAAUACAAAAAUAACUGUUUAUUCUCUGUUUCUUUCCUUGCAUCAGUCUUGAAUAUCUUAUAUCAAAUUAAUAUUAGUGCAAGAAUUGAGAAUGAUGGCGGUAGCUUCUUGGUCUUCUUUAUUCAUUUUCUAUCAGUUUCUGAUAUUUCAUUCAGCUCAAGCUCAGAAUCAAUCCCGUGAUAGCUGCCCCGAGGAAUUCAAAUGUGGGAGCUUAGGAAAUGUGACUUUUCCUUUUUCUCUAUCCUCGCAACCUGCUUGUGGAUUGUACACAAUAGAUUGUGAUACUAAACCAAAUCCAACAAUUCAUUUGGGAGGAAAUGUUUACACUGCUUUGGAACAACAUAGUUAUAGAGUUUUAGACCUUUGGUUUAAUGAUUUAUUGGCUUGCAAUUCUUUCGAUAAAGGUCUAUCUUUUCCAAGUUCCCUUUCCAUCUCGUUUACAACCAAUGAACGUAAUAUUACCUUAUUCAAAUGCAACAACAUUCUAGACACCAAGUUCCCUUUCCAUCUCGUUUACAACCAAUGAACGUAAUAUUACCUUGUUCAAAUGCAACAACACUCAGAAGGAUGAAUGAUGUUUAACUGGCAGCAACAACAAAUUUCUGUGUUCCCCAAAUCCCAAAGGUAAAAAAUUUUACUUCCAAACUGAAGUCUAUUUUCUUGACCAUUCUUUCUUACUACAUCGCAAGAUGUUUGAGAUAUAUGUUCUUGUCAGCACUCACUCAUGGGUCCAUUAUGCCAAUUUUUGUUACAAAUAUAAUUUUAAUAACUCAAAAGAAAUAUUCAAAUUGAUGUCUAGGUUCAUUCAUAUAAUAUUAUUUUAAUGAGUGUUUAUUAUACCAAUAUAUUAAAUAUAUUUUAAUGUCUGAAAAUUAAAAUAACUUUGAAUAUAAUAUCUUAUUAACAUUGA
rnacentral:lncRNA from 1 species